CGGAGGGGUUCCACACGUACCCAUCCCGAACACGACCGUUAAGCCCUCUAGCGCCGAUGGUACUUGGACCGAAGGGUCCUGGGAGAGUAGGACGUCGCCAAGC
rnacentral:rRNA from 1 species